UACGAUUGAAGUGGAAAACAGGCUUAUUGCUUGUUGCAGUUAUUAGCGCUCUCCAGACUAUUGCCGCUAACCCCAAAUAUGACAUUUAACAAUACUGUGUAAUAUUUGCAUGGGUCAUUGUAAAUAUAUAUCUUCUCUGGAAAAACCUGAUAUUGAAAACGUUAAUCACAAAUAUAUUUCUUCUUAGAACGACCCAAAAUUUAGAACGACAUAAUUUGUAUGGCAACUGAUGUAAACUUUUUAAAUUUUUAAUCUACGCCCCUCUUGAAAACCAGCUUUUGCUGUAGGGGUUAGCGUAGUCAAAUAAAGUUUUUACUUACUUACAUCAAUUAAACAAGCUUGGUACGGACCGUUUCCGUUACAGUUUCUGAUUCUCAAAAUACUGUUCUAUACAAGACAUCUGGUUUCAUUCUUCUAUAAAAAUAUCAAUGUACAAACUUUUUUGGUCGGAAAUGUGUCUUUUCCACUAUUCAAGAAACUGUAUGGAGCCACCUUAAAUUUUGACGAUGUUUGCAUGAUGGUCGGAAGAGUUAGUAGUUUUUAUUCUAUUUCAAUAUUUUAAUUUUUCAAAUAGCUUGCAGUAUAAUAAAACUAUAUCCUGGUCGAUCAAAGUAAAGUCCCGGUCAAUUGCAAACGAGGAUGCAUGAGAGUUGAUGAGACAACUGUGAUGAGACUUUGCAAUUCCAGUGCUCGCGCUUGACCGCUAACUCUCAAUGACUGACAUGCAUGUACUAUCAACUUUAAGCUGGUUCAAAUUUUGAACGCUACGCACGACCCAUACAGUCAACUCUCAUCAGCUCUCGUCCUCGUUUGACCAGGGCUUUAGCUAUAGCCUCCUCCGCAGGCAUCUCACCCGGGGAACCCAUUCGCAGGCUAUCAUUGCCCCAUAUUUUAAUGCACUGAAAUGAUUUCCACGGACUUAACUUUCCAUGCAUUUCGUGAGUGAAUACAGCUACUUCAAUUAAGGUUGUCCACGAGCAAAGCGGAAAAGUCGAAUACGAGCGCGAAAGGCUGCUGGGAACCGCUUUGAAAAUUCA